CGUAGGGUGCGAGCGUUGUCCGGAAUUAUUGGGCGUAAAGGGCUCGUAGGCGGUUUGUCACGUCGGGAGUGAAAACUCAGGGCUCAACCCUGAGCCUGCUUCCGAUACGGGCAGACUAGAGGUAUGCAGGGGAGAACGGAAUUCCUGGUGUAGCGGUGAAAUGCGCAGAUAUCAGGAGGAACACCGGUGGCGAAGGCGGUUCUCUGGGCAUUACCUGACGCUGAGGAGCGAAAGUGUGGGGAGCGAACAGGAUUAGAUACCCUGGUAGUCCACACCGUAAACGUUGGGCGCUAGGUGUGGGACUCAUUCCACGAGUUCCGUGCCGCAGCUAACGCAUUAAGCGCCCCGCCUGGGGAGUACGGCCGCAAGGCUA
rnacentral:rRNA from 1 species